rnacentral:rRNA from 1 species
AUGCCGUCAGAGGACAAACUCCUUUGUGAGUGUUGGAGGGACAUUGGGCAAGACCCCAAGGUCGGCGCCGAGCAAAAGGCAUCAACCUUCUGGCUUCGUGUUCAUCGUGAGCACCAUGAACGCAAGAAGUUUGCGUCGUACGAAAUGGAGAGCAAGCGUGGGUGGGUGUCUCUCUCGAAGCGAUGGAGGGUGAUACAACAAGAGUGCAAAAAGUUUUGCGCCACCCUUGAGAGCAUCCAGGCACGCCCCAUGAGCGGCAUCGACAUGAAAGAUAUGGUAUCCAUGCGCCCCUCUUCGUAUCCGUUUUCGUUAUGCUUGCAUGUUGUUCAUUUGUAG